rnacentral:rRNA from 1 species
UGUUUCCUACGGGGGGCAGCAGAGAGGAAAAUUGGUGAAUGGAUGCAAGUCUGAACCAGCCAAGUAGCGUGCAGGAUGACGGCCCUCCGGGCUGUAAACUGCUUUUAGUUGGGAAUAAAAGGGGGCUCGUGAGCCCCGUAUUGUAUGUACCAUCAGAAAAAGGACCGGCUAAUUCCGUGCCAGCAGCCGCGGUAAUACGGAAGGUCCGGGCGUUAUCCGGAUUUAUUGGGUUUAAAGGGAGCGUAGGCCGGCUUUUAAGUCAGCUGUGAAAGUCCGCGGCUCAACCGUGGAAUUG